rnacentral:tRNA from 1 species
CGGAGCGUAGUUCAGAUGGUAGAACAUAGCGUUCGGGACGCUAAGGUCGUGGGUUCAAGUCCCGCCGCUCCGA